UGGUGGUGAUGGGGCUGAUGGUGUUGACUGGGCCUCUGUGGGCCUCUGUGGGCACUGUCCCAAAUGGUGCCCUAUUCCCUAUAUAGUGCACCAUAUAGGGUGCAAUUUGGGACACUGAUUGCUGUUCAUCCUCCCUUACUGCCACAGUUUGCUCAUCUGACAACCGUCAGAUGAAAGUUAAACUGACGUUUUGAAAAAAUGAACAAGUCAGGAAGCCUCCUUCGGCUCGGCCCAGUGUUUAUUUUAGGUUUCAUGGACACUGCAGUUCGUCAUCAACAUUUCUCCCACGUGUGAUCAGGGGCUGAGCCAGACGAGCGUAAAGACAGAGGCUCCACCCAAAUGGCACCUUAGUCCCUAUAUAGUGCGCACAUUUUUGUUGGGCUUCCUAUUCCCUACAUUGCUUACUUUUACGACCGAAUCCAAGGGCUCAAAAGUAGUGCACUGAAAAUAGGGAAUAGGGCCCCGGUCAACAGUAGUGCACUAUAUAGGGAAUAGGGCCCUGGACAACAGUAGUGCACUAUAUAAGGAAUAGGGCCCUGGUCAACAGUAGUGCACUAUAUAGGGAAUAGGGCCCCGGUCAACAGUAGUGCACUAUAUAGGGAAUAGGGCCCUGGUCAACAGUAGUGCACUAUAUAGGGAAUAGGGUUCUGGUCUAAAGUAGUGCACUAUAUAUGGAAUAGGGUUCUGGUCUAAAGUAGUGCACUAUAUAUGGAAUAGGGUUCUGGUCUAAAGUAGUGCACUAUAUAGGGAAUAGGGUUCUGGUCUAAAGUAGUGCACUAUAUAUGGAAUAGGGCUCUGGUCUAAAGUAGUGCACUAUAUAUGGAAUAGGGUUCUGGUCUAAAGUAGUGCACUAUAUAUGGAAUAGGGUUCUGGUCUAAAGUAGUGCACUAUAUAGGGAAUAGGGUUCUGUUCUAAAGUAGUGCACUAUAUAUGGAAUAGGGCUCUGGUCUAAAGUAGUGCACUAUAUAUGGAAUAGGGUUCUGGUCUAAAGUACUGCACUAUAUAUGGAAUAGGGUUGACUGUACAUGGAGUACCAGUGCAGAGUCCAUGUGCAGGGGUACGAGGUAAUAACUUGGCUAUAUCCCCAGGAUACCAGUACAGAGUCUGAACACCUCUUACAAUAAUAGUGCUUGUGAUUCCUUUGGUCAGAUUCAUAUUGCUUGUGAUUCCUUUGGUCAGAGUCAUAUUGCUUGUGAUUCCUUUGGUCAAAGUCAUAUUGCUUGUGAUUCCUUUGGUCAGAGUCAUAUUGCUUGUGAUUCCUUUGGUCAGAGUCAUAUUGCUUGUGAUUCCUUUGGUCAAAGUCAUAUUGCUUGUGAUUCCUUUGGUCAAAGUCAUAUUGCUUGUGAUUCCUUUGGUCAAAGUCAUAUUGCUUGUGAUUCCUUUGGUCAGAGUCAUAUUGCUUGUUAUUCCUUUGCUCAUAGCGCCCCCUUGUGUCCUACAAAAUCCACUGUUGUGCUUUACACCUCCAUAGCAGUGCUUGGGUUAAAACAUUAAGUUUAGUUUCUCAUUCUGAAUGGUUAAGGUACUGGUUAAGGUUUGAAUAGGGAUAAGGUACUGGUUAAGGUUUGGAUAGGGUUAAGGUACUGGUUAAGGUUUGGAUAGGGUUAAGGUACUGGUUAAGGAUUGGAUAGGGUUAAGGUACUGGUUAAGGUUUGGAUAGGGUUAAGGUACUGGUUAAGGUUUGGAUAGGAGGGUUAAGGUACUGGUCAAGGUCUGGAUAGGGUUAAGGUACUGGUUAAGGUUUGGAUAGGGUUAAGGUACUGGUUAAGGUUUGGAUAGGGUUAAGGUACUGGUCAAGGUUUGGAUAGGGUUAAGGUACUGGUUAAGGUUUGGAUAGGAGGGUUAAGGUACUGGUCAAGGUCUGGAUAGGGUUAAGGUACUGGUUAAGGUUUGGAUAGGGUUAAGGUACUGGUUAAGGUUUGGAUAGGGUUAAGGUACUGGUUAAGGUUUGGAUAGGGUUAAGGUACUGGUUAAGGUCUGGAUAGGGUUAAGGUACUGGUUAAGGUUUGGAUAGGGUUAAGGUACUGGUUAAGGUUUGGAUAGGGUUAAGGUACUGGUUAAGGUUUGGAUAGGGUUAAGGUACUGGUUAAGGUUUGGAUAGGGUUAAGGUACUGGUUAAGGUUUGGAUAGGGUUAAGGUACUGGUCAAGGUUUGGAUAGGGUUAAGGUACUGGUUAAGGUUUGGAUAGGAGGGUUAAGGUACUGGUCAAGGUCUGGAUAGGGUUAAGGUACUGGUUAAGGUUUGGAUAGGGUUAAGGUACUGGUUAAGGUUUGGAUAGGGUUAAGGUACUGGUUAAGGUUUGGAUAGUGUUAAGGUACUGGUUAAGGAUUGGAUUAAGGAUUGGAUAGGGUUAAGGUACUGGUUAAGGUUUGGAUAGGGUUAAGGUACUGGUUAAGGUUUGGAUAGGGUUAAGGUACUGGUCAAGGUUUGGAUAGGGUUAAGGUACUGGUUAAGGUUUGGAUAGGGUUAAGGUACUGGUUAAGGUUUGGAUAGGGUUAAGGUACUGGUCAAGGUUUGGAUAGGGUUAAGGUACUGGUUAAGGUUUGGAUAGGAGGGUUAAGGUACUGGUCAAGGUCUGGAUAGGGUUAAGGUACUGGUUAAGGUUUGGAUAGGGUUAAGGUACUGGUUAAGGUUUGGAUAGGGUUAAGGUACUGGUCAAGGUUUGGAUAGGGUUAAGGUACUGGUUAAGGUUUGGAUAGGAGGGUUAAGGUACUGGUCAAGGUCUGGAUAGGGUUAAGGUACUGGUUAAGGUUUGGAUAGGGUAAUGGUACUGGUUAAGGUUUGGAUAGGGUUAAGGUACUGGUUAAGGUUUGGAUAGGAGGGUUAAGGUACUGGUCAAGGUCUGGAUAGGGUUAAGAUACUGGUUAAGGUUUGGAUAGGGUUAAGGUACUGGUUAAUGAUUGGAUAGGGUUAAGGUACUGGUUAAGGUUUGGAUAGGGUUAAGGUACUGGUUAAGGUUUGGAUAGGGUUAAGGUACUGGUUAAGGUUUGGAUAGGGUUAAGGUACUGGUUAAGGUCUGGAUAGGGUUAAGGUACUGGUUAAGGUUUGGAUAGGGUUAAGGUACUGGUUAAGGUUUGGAUAGGGUUAAGGUACUGGUUAAGGUUUGGAUAGGGUUAAGGUACUGGUUAAGGUUUGGAUAGGGUUAAGGUACUGGUUAAGGUUUGGAUAGGGUUAAGGUACUGGUCAAGGUUUGGAUAGGGUUAAGGUACUGGUUAAGGUUUGGAUAGGAGGGUUAAGGUACUGGUCAAGGUCUGGAUAGGGUUAAGGUACUGGUUAAGGUUUGGAUAGGGUUAAGGUACUGGUUAAGGUUUGGAUAGGGUUAAGGUACUGGUUAAGGUUUGGAUAGUGUUAAGGUACUGGUUAAGGAUUGGAUUAAGGAUUGGAUAGGGUUAAGGUACUGGUUAAGGUUUGGAUAGGGUUAAGGUACUGGUUAAGGUUUGGAUAGGGUUAAGGUACUGGUCAAGGUUUGGAUAGGGUUAAGGUACUGGUUAAGGUUUGGAUAGGGUUAAGGUACUGGUUAAGGUUUGGAUAGGGUUAAGGUACUGGUCAAGGUUUGGAUAGGGUUAAGGUACUGGUUAAGGUUUGGAUAGGAGGGUUAAGGUACUGGUUAAGGUUUGGAUAGGGUUAAGGUACUGGUUAAGGUUUGGAUAGGGUUAAGGUACUGGUUAAGGUUUGGAUAGGGUUAAGGUACUGGUUAAGGUUUGGAUAGGGUUAAGGUACUGGUCAAGGUUUGGAUAGGGUUAAGGUACUGGUUAAGGUUUGGAUAGGAGGGUUAAGGUACUGGUCAAGGUCUGGAUAGGGUUAAGGUACUGGUUAAGGUUUGGAUAGGGUUAAGGUACUGGUUAAGGUUUGGAUAGGGUUAAGGUACUGGUUAAGGUUUGGAUAGUGUUAAGGUACUGGUUAAGGAUUGGAUUAAGGAUUGGAUAGGGUUAAGGUACUGGUUAAGGUUUGGAUAGGGUUAAGGUACUGGUUAAGGUUUGGAUAGGGUUAAGGUACUGGUCAAGGUUUGGAUAGGGUUAAGGUACUGGUUAAGGUUUGGAUAGGGUUAAGGUACUGGUUAAGGUUUGGAUAGGGUUAAGGUACUGGUCAAGGUUUGGAUAGGGUUAAGGUACUGGUUAAGGUUUGGAUAGGAGGGUUAAGGUACUGGUCAAGGUCUGGAUAGGGUUAAGGUACUGGUUAAGGUUUGGAUAGGGUUAAGGUACUGGUUAAGGUUUGGAUAGGGUUAAGGUACUGGUCAAGGUUUGGAUAGGGUUAAGGUACUGGUCAAGGUUUGGAUAGGGUUAAGGUACUGGUUAAGGUUUGGAUAGGGUUAAGGUACUGGUUAUGGUUUGGAUAGGGUUGAGGUACUGGUUAAGGUUUGGAUAGGGUUAAGGUACUGGUUAAGGAUUGGAUAGGGUUAAGGUACUGUUUAAGGAUUGUAUAUAAGGGUUAAAACCAACUAUAAAAACUAGUGUCUGUGACCAGGAUCCAACACACAGCCUUCUGAUCCAGAGGUAUGGGAUUCCACCUCUCCAUCCCCUCAUCCACAACACUCCGGCAAAACUAUUACUUGACGGUAAUAGUGCUCACUGUUGCCUCUAGUGGCUGGUUUUGAAGGCAUUUCCCGACGUAUUCAGGAAAGCGAUAGACGACCAAUUUCAACAAUAAUCUUGAACAAACUGGCUUCACAGACACACACGCACACACACACGCACGCACGCACACACACACACACACACACACACACACACACACACACACACACACACACACACACACACACACACACACACACACACACACACACACACACACACACACACACACACACACACACACACACACACACACAAUUGUACAGCUAACCUUGUGGGGACACACAAUUCAGUCCCAUUCCAAAUGAUAUUUUCCCUAACCCCUAACCUUAAACCUUAACCCUAACUCGUACUUUUACCCUAACCCUAACCUUAACCCAUAAACCUUACCCUAAACCUAACCCUAACUUCUAAGCCUAAACCUAACCCUAGCUUCUAAGCCUAAACCUAACCCGAGCUCCUAACCCUUAACCUAAUUCUAAUCUUAACCCUAAACCUAAACCUAACCCUAGCUUCUAAGCCUAAACCUAACACUAGCUCCUAACCCUUAACCUAAUUCUAAUUCUAACCUUAACCCUAUAGUGCCCUACUUUUGCCCAGGGUUCAUAGGGAAGAGGAUGCCAUUUGGUAUGGUACCUACCUACUGCAUCAUUUUAAAGAUACUGUAUAGAUAGAUAUAUACAGUACCAGUCAAAGUUUGGACUCAAUCAAUGUUUUUUUUCUUUAUUUUGUACCAUUUUCUACAUCAAAACUAUGAAAUAACACAUAUGGAAUCAUGCAGUAACCAAAAAAGUGUUAAACAAAUCAAAAUAUAAUUUAUACUUGAGAUUCUUCAAAGUAGCCACUCCUUGCCUCAAUGACAGCUUUGCACACUCUUGGCGUUCUCUCAACCGGCUUCACGAGGUAGUCACCUGGAAUGCAUUUCAAUUAACAUGUGUGCCUUGUUAAAAGUUAAUUUGUGGAAAUUCUUUCCUUCUUUAAUGAGUUUGAGCCAAUCAGUUGUGUUGUGACAAGGUAGGGGUGGUAUACCGAAGAGAGACCUAUUUGGUAAAAGACAAAGUCCAUAUUAUGGCAAGAACAGCUAAGCAAAGAGAAACGACAGUGGCUCCAAACUUUUGACUGGUACUAUAUGUAGUGCACUACUUUUGACAAGGGUUCAUAUAUGUAGCGCACUACUUUUGACAAGGGUUCAUAUAUGUAGUGCACUACUUUUGACCAGGAUUCAUAUAUGUAGUGCACUACUUUUGACCAUGGUUCAUAUAUGUAGUGCACUACUUGUAUCGGGUAUAGGGUGCCACUUGGGACACACACUUUUCUUUAAUAAUGGUGCCGAGGGGAGGGCUGCCGUUUUACAGGCUCCUAACCAACUGUGCUAUUUUGUUCGUUUUUUUUCUCGCAUUUAUUGUAACUAAUUUUGUACAUAAUGUUACUGCUACCGUCUCUUAUGACCGAAGAUAGAUUCUGGACGUCAGAACAGCGAUUACUCACCUCGAACUGGAUGAAGGUUUUUUCUUUAAUGUGUCCGACGCAAAGGAUUUACUGCUUUGUCAAGGUCCAAAUCCCCGUCAUCUGCGUUAAGAAGAGAUGGAGAAAAAGAGGGGUUGGGGGGUGUGCCUUGUAAGAGUUCGCAGAUGAGUAGGUAAACCACUGUCAUGACUUGUCCUCCUGGAUGGGGAUCAAAGCUAAUUAAAGGUUUCAAGAACCCUCUCUCCUGGGGGAGUUGGCCAGUUUCAUGACGGUCAUAAAUACCAUGCUGGAACUUUCUCUCCCUUGCCAGGCAGUAUUGAGGGGAAAGAACCUUCGUGUUACAAAGAGAUUCUUCCCGCCAAAACUCCAACAUCCAAAAGUGGAUAAUGAAACAAUAUUUCUAACACAAAGAAUGUGGGAAAUGGUCGGGAGGGACUCAAAGAACAAUCAUGUCAGAUAAUUUAUUGUUUUGUGAUAUCAUUAAAUACAUUAUAACGGAAACACAACGUAGCUUUCACAAUGUGUGUGUCAGAGUUGCAUCUAAAUGUUGUAAAACUUAUAUGAUUAACUAUGAAACUAUUUGUGAGAAGAUUAAAUGUGAGUUUAGCCUUCUAAAUUAGAUGAAUGUUUUUAAUGUAAAGUUUUACCCAAUCAGUAACCACGCCCAUGUGAACACAGACAUUAUGCCAAAAGAAUGGAACGCCUCUUUUGCCAGAGUACUUAUAAAGGACUCCUAAAGAAUUAACAUAUUAGACCAGUACGCUGCCAGUGUCACAUCCUGACCAUAGUUUGCUUUGUAUGUUUCUAUGUUUUGUUUGGUCAGGGUGUGAUCUGAGUGGGCAUUCUAUGUUACAUGUCUAGUUUGUCUAUUUCUAUGUUUGGACUGACAUGGUUAUCAAUCAGAGGCAGGUGUUAGUCAUUGUCUCUGAUUGGGAACCAUAUUUAGGUAGCCUGUUUGGUGUUGGGUUUUGUGGGUGAUUGUUCCUGUCUCUGUGUUUGCACCAGAUAGGGCUGUUUUGGGUUUUCACGUUUCUUGUUUUGUUAGUUUGUUCAUGUGUAGUUUCUUUAUUAAAGAACCAUGAAUAGUAA